UACGUAGGGUGCAAGCGUUAAUCGGAAUUACUGGGCGUAAAGGGUGCGUAGGCGGUGGGGUGAGUUUGGGGUGAAAUCUCCGGGCCCAACCCGGAAAAUGCCUUGAAUACUAUCCUGCUUGAGGAUCGGAGGGGAGACUGGAAUUCUCGGUGUAGCAGUGAAAUGCGUAGAUAUCGAGAGGAACACCAGUGGCGAAGGCGGGUCUCUGGACGAUUCCUGACGCUGAGGCACGAAAGCCAGGGGAGCAAACGGG
rnacentral:rRNA from 1 species